AUCACCUAAGGAUCUUGUUAAAAUGCAGAUUCUGAUUCAGUAGGUCUGGGGCAAGGCCCAAGAUUCGGCAUUUCUUACAGGUCUCAGGUGAGGCCAG
rnacentral:pre_miRNA from 1 species